CUGCACCGAUGUUUCUUCUACUAUUGACUCUUCACUCACUAUGGUCAUGGGAGAUGAUAUGGUUAAGGUUGUUGCUUGGUAUGACAAUGAAUGGGGUUACAGCCAAAGGGUUGUGGAUUUGGCACAUUUGGUGGCAAACAAGUGGCCCGGAGUAGCUGCUGCAAAGGGAGGUGGAGACCCAUUGGAAGAGUUUUGUGAGACAAACCCAGCUGAUGAAGAAUGCAAAGUCUUUGAAUAGAAUAGCAGCUUUGGUUAUUAUCGCU